UGGGGAAUAUUGGGCAAUGGGCGAAAGCCUGACCCAGCCACGCCGCGUGAGUGAUGAAGGCCUUCGGGUCGUAAAGCUCUGUGGGGAGGGACGAAUAAGUUGGCAGUUAACACCUGCCGGCCCUGACGGUACCUCCUUAGCAAGCACCGGCUAACCAUGUGCCAGCAGCCGCGGUAAUACAUGGGGUGCAAACGUUGCUCGGAAUUAUUGGGCGUAAAGCGCACGUAGGUGGUCUGUUAUGUCAGAUGUGAAAGCCCUCGGCUUAACUGAGGAAGUGCACCUGAAACUGGCAGGCUUGAGUACGAAAGAGGGUCGCGGAAUUCCCGGUGUAGAGGUGAAAUUCGUAGAUAUCGGGAGGAACACCGGUGGCGAAGGCGGCGACCUGGUUCGAUACUGACACUGAGGUGCGAAAGCGUGGGGAGCAAACAG
rnacentral:rRNA from 1 species